CGACAGUGUUAUAUAUAUAAAUAGCGGACAACUUUGGUUUUCAUAUACUGGUUUAAAACUCAAUAUCAUUCAGAUAGGUGACUUUGCAAGAGCAUAAAAGUGUAAUUUCGAGGUAAAAUCACUUCUAUAUCAAUAAUAACUAAUUUGCCUUCUAUACACCCCGUACAGAAGAAAUUAUAAAAGUCUACGUGGAUAAAGUCACGGUUAACAGCUGGUAGUAUCUACUAGUAGGUAUAAUAAUUUAUUUUAUUUUUAAAAUCAAUUAAAAUAAAAUCUAAUAGCAGAUAAAAGAAAAAUCCUUACUAAUAAUAUUUUUGAACAUUACAGUAGGUAUGAUAUAUAUUAAUAAUUAUUGUAGUAAGUACAGCUGUUAAAACUAAUAACAAUAAAUCUGUAGAAAUCGACAAGUAUAAUCGUAUUUAACAGUUUAUAAAACUGUUUACAACUUCUGUUAAUACUGGAAUA